rnacentral:rRNA from 1 species
GGUUGACCUCGGAUCAGGUAGGGAUACCCGCUGAACUUAAGCAUAUCAAUAAGCGGAGGAAAAGAAACCAACCGGGAUUGCCCUAGUAACGGCGAGUGAAGCGGCAAGAGCUCAAAUUUGAAAUCUGGCCCCUCCGGGGUCCGAGUUGUAAUUUGCAGAGGAUGCUUUGGGUGCGGCCCCUGUCUAAGUGCCCUGGAACGGGCCGUCAGAGAGGGUGAGAAUCCCGUCU